rnacentral:tRNA from 1 species
AUUAGGGUGCCUGAGAAAAGGGUUAUUCUGAUAUUAUAAUUUACGUAAUUAUUUACCCCUAAUA